AUGUUUGCCAUUGAUGAAACUGAUUGGUUGGUACACAUUAAAGUUGUCUCUAUUUCAGGAUUCAUUGAUACCAAUAAUCAUGAUCAUUAUGGCAAGCCAGAAUGCAAUGAUAUUAGUUCUUCAUCUCGAUUUAUUCUUCUGUUCUGUGGAUUUCGUACGCUAUUUCAAUGUGCUACUGGUGUUUCCAAUUUUGCUUACUUGCAGAUGGUGAAAAAAGGGAUGAAGUGUUCAUUCUUCAGAUUUGAUUUCGCCUGA